rnacentral:lncRNA from 1 species
AGGACAUGGAGAAAGCAUGAUAUGAGAUACUCUUGCUUUCAACCUUUAUGAUAUGAAAUACUUUUGCUUUGAAUAGGUUGUUCGCAGGAGUAUCCCAAGGAAUGAGGAACACAGAGUGACUCGAGAGGAUUCUUUGGGAAUGCAUUUUCGGAGAUGAAGAGGUGCUGAGAGGGUGUGCUGAGAGAGUGUGCUUUUGCUGUGGAAGGCGAAGGUAGAAACUUAUAGGACUUGUCUUCACAACCGGAACUGUUCUCUCACUUAGUGUCGGCAGCCGGUGGAUGGGUGAAGAAUACAAAUUACGCGCUUUCUGACAAAGCUGCCCGUAAUUUCCGCAAAGCUGAUUCCUCAUUGAUAUCUGUAAUCGGCGCUUCGAGCUCUGAGCAUCGUCGAUUGUAGAGGUAGCAUGUGACACGUGCGGAUAAAUCUGGAAAAGAAGAUUUUCCCGUGGGUUGAAGCCCAGCUUUUGAGAAAGCUAGCGUGUCUUUGACUGUUGAAUUUCCCUCUUCGAUUUCUGAAUUGGUGCUUCGACAAAUUGCCCGAGAUUUCCGCAAAGCAAUUUGCGUGUGACAAGUGACGACACGUCUGGACAAAUUGAUCUUUUGAAAUCCGGGGUUCGGCUCGUGGUUUCUGAGCAAGCCCAGCCUUUAAGAAAUGAAACGCCUCUUUUGAGAAAAGAAUCCGGCUUUUGAGAAAGGAAACUCCUCUUUUGAGAAAAGAAUCAGACGUUUUGAGAACGGAGCCCCGACUCUUCGAUUUGCGAGAGGACGCUUCUCUGAGGAGCGCCUCUUUGAUUUCUUCCUUUUUAUAGAGACGUUAAGCUUGUUCCACAACACACUUGAGUACCCUCCCGUAAACACUCCCUUCUUGCACUUGUUUAAUCUUGAUCAUUCCGACUCUCUUCUUGUCUUUACCACCUCUGAAAAAUGUCUGGCCCUUCUGAUCGUCGUUUUGACUUGAACAUUGGUGAAGAGGCAGCUCCGCCUUCACCAGACAACAUAUGGCGGCCAUCCUUCAUAUCCCUACCGGUCCCCUUACCGUGGGGGAUUCGAUGAUGAAAAAUGACAUGACCGCUGCGGUGGUGGCCCGAAACCUUGUCACUCCCAGAGAUAACAGACUGCUCGCAAGGCGGUCUGAUGAAUUGGCAGUCAAGGAGUCUCUGGCUCUUCAGUGUGCAGUGUGCGGGUUCCGUAUCCAACAUGGCCCAACGCCUAUAUGCCCGAACCCGUCACGUUGAAUCCUUGGUGGCUGAAAUACAGAGUCUCAAGCAAGAGAUUAAAGGGCUCAAGCAUGAGAAUAAGGAAUUGCACAAGCUCGCACACAGCUAUGCCACCAGCAUGAAGAGGAAGAUUGACCAGAUGCAGGACACCGAUGGUCAAAUUUUACUUGAUCAUCGGAGGUUUGUGGGUUUGUUCCAACCGCAUCUGCCUUCGUCUUCUGGGGGCGGCACCGCGUAGUGAAGCUCCAACUGAUCAACCUCUGCCGCCUCCUCCUUCUGUGGCCCCGCCGACUGCUGAAGCCCCGCCUACUACUGAAGCACCACCCGACCAAUGAAUACUAUUAGUUUACAUCAUUGUAAAAUAUUUGUACUUUUUUUUUUUUUUUUUUUUUUUUUUUUUUUUUUUUUUUUUUGUAAUUUUUUUUUUUUUUUUUUUUUUUUUUCAUUAAUUUUAAAUUUUAUCUUUUUUUUUUUUUUUUUUUGUAAAUUAAAGUAGAAAGACUUUGGUUAACCUUCCCCCACACUUAAACUAAAUAACACAAACUCACAGAAAUCAAACAAAUAACACAACUAACUAAAACAAACAAAAUGAAAGCAGUAAAGAUAAGGGUGUAAAAAUGCAAAUCUGAUUGGGUUAGCGAUUCCAAAGUCUCCCUUCGUUGAAUGCUUGGGUUGCCUCCCAAGAAGCGCUUGAUUUAACGUCUUUAGCCGGACGCAUCUUUCCUUUAAAUUUCCCUCAGCUCCAUUUGUGCCUAAAAUCAAAGAAAGAAAAAUAAAUCAAAUAUCAAAAGUAAAAUACACAAACACCAAUAUAAACAUAAACAAAAACAAAAAUAAAAGGAUUAGCAAAGUUACUAAUCCCCGGCAACGGCGCCAAAAUUUGAUGCGUAAAAUUACUUGACACACAAAUUAAACCCUCUUUUUGACAAUUGUAGUAUAGAUGUAAGUAGGGUAUCGUUCUAGGCCGGGGAUUAGGAGGGAUUGCUAAUCUAUUCUAAAUUAAUUUAAAAAUAUUAAAUAAGACUCAAGGACACAAAAUUAGGCUAAAAACUCUAAUAACUCGAAACACACUUAAAAUGACUCAAAAUAAUGAAAACAAUUAAAUUAAACACUAGGAACUGAAAUGGACGGAAAUUAAAUUAAAAGACUAACAAUAAAGAAAACUAACUAAAUAAUAUAAUUUAAUAAUGGAUGGGUGUUUGGUUUUGAUGAAAAGUAAAUUAAACUUAAUUAAAUUACAGAAUUGAUAAAAACAUAAAAUUAAGGUAAAAUGAUAAAUGACGGACUAGCUAGAGGGUUCUUCUCCACACAUGUUAUACUUGCAUACAAAAUGAUUUCCAGUUGUUCAUUUAAUAAAUUGUGAAUCUCAAUACUCCAGAUUAACCGUGAACAGCACUUUUUUAAUCUUCAAGUUUUCCUUAAGUUAUUGAAUUGGACGGGAAAAACGCAUACAACAAUUCAAAACAUUCUUCAAAAGUCCCCUACGUGAAAAGCACAAUAGAGAUACAAUCAAAGAUCAUUAAACUUUGUGAAAACUAUAAGCAUUGACGAGGCAUUCGUAACUAUGAAAAAGCAUGAUACUCUUGCCAAGAAUUUACUUAACGUGAUUGUGACUAGCAACCUUUACUACUUGUGAAAAUAAGUUCAUAACGAUUAGGUGAAAUUCACUUAUAUUCUAGCAUCAAAUUCAUGCAUGUAAAUUAAGCGUGCACUCUCAACCAACAUACACAAAUCAGUUUUUAUACGAACGGAUAAGUAAAUUGAAUUCACAACUUAUAACUCACAACUGAAGAUAAUCAAUUCAUAUUACAAAUAUAUUCAUGGUUUCGAAUUAACCUCUAACCAACAUAAAUUUAAUUACACAUUAUUAAAAACAGAAAUAAAAUAUGAGUUUGGAAGGAUUUAACCGAAAGAGAAGGGUGCUUGCUGCUUCUGUCUGUCUUCCUCCCCGAGGCUCACUGUCUUUCCCGCUCACCUCUGCCCUCACUUCUCGUCCCCGCAGUCCCGUGCUCCUUGCGCCACGUGCUGCAAGGCAGCUUCUCUCUCUCUCGCACCAGCUGCCAAAUGGCAGCUCUCAUCUUUCUUUUUUUAUAUAUUUUCUUUUUCUCCUUCUGCCGCAAGGCAGCUGUGCUGCCAGCCUUCUGUCCUCCCUUUAUUUUCUGCAGCUGUCCUCUCCUUGUUCUGCCAGUCAAGCUGCCAAAGGCAGCUUGUGACCUCACCUCAUGCUCAAGCUGCCCCGUUUCUUUUUUUAUCUUUCCUGCACGCUGCCUUCUGUUUCAUUCUUUCCCCUUUCUUCUAAUCCGUCCUCCUUGGAUCCUUUUAGCUGUCUCUCACUCAUCUCUCCACCGCUGCCCAAAAGCAGCUUUCUCCUUUAUUCUUCUUUUUUUUUAUUUCUGGCCUCACCUCCCCGUAGCUAAGUUGUCCUCCUCUUAUUUUCUGUUAUGCCACAAAACAUGAAUCAUGAUGAUGUUUCAAACAUCAUCAUGAUUUAUUAUUAUUAUUUCUUUUAUUAAUUUUAUGUAAAAGUUGAUUUACACAGACAGGUUUAACGAAUUUAUUACAUAAAAUUUCACUUGUUCUAUUUUUAUUUUCUUUGCAUAACAAAUCCUAUAAACACAAAAAUAACGUAAAUAGCUCAAAAAUAUAAGGAACUAACUAAGAAAAGACGAGUGAAUUCGAAGUAAAAAUAUAUAUAAAUAUGAUCCGAUCAAAUACCCCCACACUUAACUUUUGCUAGUCCUCGAGCAAAACAAAGGAAAACAUGAAAAAAGUAAUAACAAUGAAAAACAUUAGCUUCCCUCUAUGUGACCCUCAUAGAAUUUCAUUCAAGAAAACAAAUCAUCAAGAACCAUAGCUAGCACCAAACAAACUAAUCCAAGUUCAUCUUCCUAAUUCAAAUAUUAGCAGUAAUCUUUAAAUCAUCCUUGAAGUGUAGUGUGUGAGAUAGCCAUGCUAAUACAAUUUCAAAUUUUUUUAUAUUUUUAAAAUCAUCAUAUGCAAACUAGCGACCUUCUCACGGGAUAUGCACUCAAUCACACAUGUGUUUAGUUUUAAUGUGUUUCGCUCAAAAAAAAUCAAAUGUGAAAUUUCUACCAUAAGCUUGCAUAAAGAUCACUUGUCCACAGUCAUAAUUGCAAAACUUAAAUCAAGAGGACUUUUAUUGGAUGUAAUGAGGUUUAGGGAUAGGGUUAUUGAAACGAUAGAAUAGGAAAACACAAGUUCCAAGCUACAUUGCAAGCAAUUCUUUUCUUUAGAUUUAUAAGAACUCAAGCUCUCCAACGAUUCUUCUUAAACCUCCAACCACACCCUUAAACUGAAAAUUAAACAACUUUAAAAACAUUUUUUUUUUUCUUUUCUUUUCUUUUCUUCGUAUACAAUCUUUCUUUUUCUUUUUUUUUAUUUUUUUUUAUACAAACAUGAAAUACCCCCACACUUAUUUUUUUGCCAAACACCUUCAAAGUACUUACAAACAUUUCUCAUAAGACAAUCUCGCAUUGCUCGCUUGGAAAGGGUAAGGAAAAAAUGUUUCAGGUGUAAGGGUAGACAUAUCUGGUGAUAAGAAAUAAAAGGUUCAACAUACACGGCUCAAAUUGGCAAUCUAAUGAUAUCAUUUUUCUUUGGGAAACAUGGUUAUUUGGGCCAUGGUGGUAAACCUAAUGCCUCUAUCAUUUCCAAGUUCAUGCAAUCAAUGAUAAACAUUUCGAAAGAUCGUUACGCAAGUUCUAGAGAUAUAUCUCACAUAAGUUCAUCACACAUGAAAGAAUAGGAGUGUAUGAAAAAUGCACACACUUUCAAUAGGCUCAAAAACUCACAUAGGAUGUAUAUGGUCACUAAAUUCACAUAUGAAGCUUUAAGUCAUGCUUUAGUUUCACAUCAACAAGGCUAUGUGCAUUUGGUUUUUCAAAGAUGAUCAAACAUGUACAAAACUAACAAGAGAAUUAGGAAACUUCAUAAAACACAUGUUAACUAAGUUCUUGAUGAUCAUGAUUCAAAUUUUGAUCUAAUUAUAUCAUUGGGUCGGGAAACUAACAAAAAUCUAAUUCAAAACAAUAAGGGAAACAAGACAAUAUUUUUUGGAUUUUUUAAAAUUUUCCGAUUUUUUUUUUUUUUUUUUAUAGAGAAAACAAAACUAAAAAAAAUUAAAAAAAUAAAAAGCAACAACACAGAAACAAAUGAAAUUCUAGAGAUUUCUACCCCCACACUUAAACUUGACAUUGUCCCCAAUGUCAGAAAACACUAUAAUGCAAAAAUAAAUAAAAUAAACAAAAUAAUAAAAAAAAACAAAAUAAAGCAAUUGGACUGAAAACUUCCCUAAUUUGCAGUAAAAUCAAGCGAUGACCCUCAAGCUAAAAUUCUGCAAUCAACUUCAAGGGUGGAAAUAACCAAAAGUUCCUGCAAAGAAAAGGAAAAAUUCAGUUAAGUACGCAAGAAAAUUAAUUAAAAAAAAUAUUGCAAACGAAAAAUUGAAAAUUACGAUAAAAGAUAAUGAAUAAAACUAAUAAGUAAUCAUUGGUCGUGCUUGUUGACUUUCCACAGCUUUCCUCUUGAACAGGGUGACACUUAGCUUUUUACUUGCAAGUGAUGAUUUGAUGAUAUUGUACGGCGAAGCUUUGCUCUUUGGUUAUGUUGCAGUUCCUUAUUUGUUCUCCAAGCAGAUGUGGCAGCUUCUCUAGUUCCUCAGUUCGGACUCCUUCCGCUGGGAUGAUUGUGCAAGCUGCAUUCUUCUCUGCUUGUUUCUUCUGCACAACGGGCAGGCACGAGGGAAAGGUGUUGGUCCUUAUUUCUUUCUUCAAUCUUUCCAAGUGCCCACCUCUUGCUUUCUUUCUCCUUGUCCCUAGCUGAAUUGUCUCCACAUGCUUCGAGGUAUCAUUUUCACUUCCCUUACUGUCCCCCAGGCAGAUGUGGUAGACGAAGAGAAAGCAUAAAAUGAAGAAGAUGAGUACUCGAGAGCAAGGCUAGGUAAGCAAUCAGGAAAGGGUUCCAGGCAGUUGGCUCCAGAUUGGAAGAUUGAUACCAAAUGCUGGCUGAUUGCUCUCUUUCUCCUUGUCGGAAAACAAAGACAAGGAGAAGGACAUGGAGAAAGCAUGAUAUGAGAUACUCUUGCUUUCAACCUUUAUGAUAUGAAAUACUUUUGCUUUGAAUAGGUUGUUCGCAGGAGUAUCCCAAGGAAUGAGGAACACAGAGUGACUCGAGAGGAUUCUUUGGGAAUGCAUUUUCGGAGAUGAAGAGGUGCUGAGAGGGUGUGCUGAGAGAGUGUGCUUUUGCUGUGGAAGGCGAAGGUAGAAACUUAUAGGACUUGUCUUCA